rnacentral:misc_RNA from 1 species
CUUAUUGAGACAUUCACUUCUUAGCUGAUAGUGAACUUGGGUAUUUUUGCUGAUCGCGGCACCGGAGAACUUCGAUGUGUCAAUUGCCCAAGCAGGUCUCACAUAUUCUACUGUUUGAGAUGAGCUUGCAUUGGCAUAGAGAAAAUUCAAUAAAACAUCUUCACAAUUAAAAAUCUUAUCAACCAAAUCCCUGCCUGGCCUAGCAGCUGCACUCCAGUACCUUGGAAAAGCUAAUUGACUAUCAAUAAAAGCUGCACCUGUAAGAAUCAUAUUGUACCCUUUAUGACUUCGGG